UAAAAUCGGGUGUCAAUAAGAAAGGAGAUGCUAUUGGACAGUUAAAAACAUCCAAACCAGCUGAACCUGAAGACGUUGAGGAAUGGUGAUUGACACUUUGUUAUUCCUUUUCAUGCAUGUGGGGGACUCCAAAACUUGUGCAGAAAAUGCCUACCAUACAGCUGUGGAAGGAUGGCAAGAAACAGGCAGAUGCAUCCUACUGGACCGAAAGCUGGUGGUUCUCCAUGAAAACAAUAUCGGUUAUUGUGUAAUACAUUGGCAUGAAAACAAUAUCGGUUACU